CGGACGUGGGGAACCUGCCCUGUACAGGGGGAUAACAGCUGGAAACAGCUGCUAAUACCGCAUAAUGCAGUUGGGGUCGCAUGGCUCUGACUGCCAAAGAUUUAUCGCUCUGGGAUGGACUCGCGUCUGAUUAGCUAGUUGGUGGGGCAACGGCCCACCAAGGCGACGAUCAGUAGCCGGACUGAGAGGUUGGCCGGCCACAUUGGGACUGAGACACGGCCCAGACUCCUACGGAAGGCAGCAG
rnacentral:rRNA from 1 species